ACGCUAUUUGAUGAGCCUGCGUAAGAUUAGCUAGUUGGUAGGGUAAAGGCCUACCAAGGCGACGAUCUUUAACUGGUCUGAGAGGAUGAUCAGUCACACCGGAACUGAGACACGGUCCGG
rnacentral:rRNA from 1 species